rnacentral:rRNA from 1 species
GCAUAUCCAAUAAGCGGAGGAAAAGAAACCAACAGGGAUUGCCCUUAGUAACGGCGAAGUGAAGCGGCAACAGCUCAAAUUUGAAAAUCUGGCUCUUUCAGAGUCCGAGUUGUAAUUUGCAGAGGGUGCUUUGGUGGUAGUUGCGGUCUAAGUUCUUUGGAACAGGACGUCACAGAGGGUGAGAAUCCCGUAUGUGGUCGCUACUUAUCACCGUGUAAAAGCCCCUUCGACGAGUCGAGUUGUUUGGGAAUGCAGCUCUAAAUGGGAGGUAAAUUUCUUCUAAAGCUAAAUACUGGCCAGAGACCGAUAGCGCACAAGUAGAGUGAUCGAAAGAUGAAAAGCACUUUGGAAAGAGAGUCAAAUAGCACGUGAAAUUGUUGAAAGGGAAGCGCUUGCAGCCAGACUUGCCUGUAGUUGCUUACCUAGACUUUUGUCUGGGGUACUCUUCUGCAGGCAGGCCAGCAUCAGUUUGGGCGGUUGGAUAAAGGUCUCUGUCACGUACCUCCUUUCGGGGAGGCCUUAUAGGGGAGACGUCAUACAACCAGCCUGGACUGAGGUCCGCGCAUCUGCUAGGAUGCUGGCGUAAUGGCUGUAAGCGGCCCGUCUUGAAACACGGACCAAGGAGUCUAACAUCUAUGCGAGUGUUUGGGUGUCAAGCCCAUACGCGUAAUGAAAGUGAACGGAGGUGGGAACCUUAGGGUGCACCAUCGACCGAUCCUGAUGUCUUCGGAUGGAUUUGAGUAAGAGCAUGGCUGUUGGGACCCGAAAGAUGGUGAACUAUGCUUGAAUAGGGUGAAGCCAGAGGAAACUCUGGUGGAGGCUCGCAGCGGUUCUGACGUGCAAAUCGAUCGUCAAAUUUGGGCAUAGGGGCGAAAGACUAAUCGAACUAUCUAGUAGCUGGGUGCUGUGA